CCUUCGUGGUUGCACUCAAACCACCUUCGGGGUGUAAACAGCAGGACAUAAGAGUCUCUUGAGGUAGCCAAAUGCCUUGUCAUCUAAAUAGUGACACGCAUGAAUGG
rfam:Salmo salar isolate Sally breed double haploid chromosome ssa24, whole genome shotgun sequence.